rnacentral:rRNA from 1 species
GGCUUAGAGUUUGAUCAUGGCUCAGGACGAACGCUGGCGGCGCGCCUAACACAUGCAAGUCGAACGGGGUUGAGAGGAGCUUGCUUUUCUUGACUUAGUGGCGAACGGGUGAGUAACGCGUGAGGAACCUGCCUCAAAGAGGGGGACAACAGUUGGAAACGACUGCUAAUACCGCAUAAGCCCACGGUUCUGCAUGGAACUGAGGGAAAAGGAGCAAUCCGCUUUGAGAUGGCCUCGCGUCCGAUUAGCUAGUUGGUGAGGUAACGGCCCACCAAGGCGACGAUCGGUAGCCGGACUGAGAGGUUGAACGGCCACAUUGGGACUGAGACACGGCCCAGACUCCUACGGGAGGCAGCAGUGGGGAAUAUUGCACAAUGGGGGAAACCCUGAUGCAGCGACGCCGCGUGGAGGAAGAAGGUCUUCGGAUUGUAAACUCCUGUUGUUGGGGAAAAAGAGGAUGGUACCCAACAAGGAAGUGACGGCUAACUACGUGCCAGCAGCCGCGGUAAAACGUAGGUCACAAGCGUUGUCCGGAAUUACUGGGUGUAAAGGGAGCGCAGGCGGGUAUGCAAGUUGGGAGUGAAAUACAUGGGCUCAACCCACGAACUGCUCUCAAAACUGUGUAUCUUGAGUAGUGCAGAGGUAGGCGGAAUUCCCGGUGUAGCGGUGGAAUGCGUAGAUAUCGGGAGGAACACCAGUGGCGAAGGCGGCCUACUGGGCACCAACUGACGCUGAGGCUCGAAAGUGUGGGUAGCAAACAGGAUUAGAUACCCUGGUAGUCCACACCGUAAACGAUGAUUACUAGGUGUUGGAGGAUAGACCCCUUCAGUGCCGCAGUUAAACACAUAAGUAAUCCACCUGGGGAGUACGACCGCA